GACGAAGGUGGCGAGCGUUGUUCGGAAUCACUGGGCAUAAAGCGCACGUAGGCGGUGACGUAAGUCGGGUGUGAAAUCCCUCGGCCUAACCGAGGAACUGCGCCCGAUACUGCGUUGCUUGAGGACCAGAGGGGUGCAUGGAAUUUCCGGUGGAGCGGUGAAAUGCGUUGAUAUCGGAAGGAACUCCGGCGGCGAAAGCGGCGCACUGGACCAUAACUGACGCUGAGGCGCGAAAGCUAGGGGAGCAAACAGG
rnacentral:rRNA from 1 species